rnacentral:sRNA from 1 species
AGCUCCACCGGGUCCACCCCACGCGUGACGACGAGGUAGUCCCGCAUCACGGUCGAAUGCCGCAUCUC